rnacentral:rRNA from 1 species
UACGUAGGGAGCAAGCGUUGUUCGGAUUUACUGGGCGUAAAGGGCGCGUAGGCGGCGUGUCAAGUCGAUUGUGAAAUCUCCGGGCUUAACUCGGAACGGCCAAUCGAUACUGACGUGCUAGAGUGCAGAAAGGGCAAUCGGAAUUCUUGGUGUAGCGGUGAAAUGCGUAGAUAUCAAGAGGAACACCUGAGGCGAAGGCGGUGCUCUGGGCCGGAACUGACGCUGAGGAGCGAAAGCGUGGGGAGCGAACAGG